AAGACUAUAGACCUGCGGAGUACCUGCGGAGGGAUCAUUACCGAGUUUACAACUCCCAAACCCAAUGUGAACGUUACCAAACUGUUGCCUCGGCGGGAUCUCUGCCCCGGGUGCGUCGCAGCCCCGGACCAAGGCGCCCGCCGGAGGACCAACCAAAACUCUUUUUGUAUACCCCCUCGCGGGUUUUUAUAUCUGAGCCAUCUCGGCGCCUCUCGUAGGCGUUUCGAAAAUGAAUCAAAA
rnacentral:misc_RNA from 1 species